AAAUAGCAAAUAUUUACACAGA
rnacentral:snRNA from 1 species